rnacentral:lncRNA from 1 species
GGUAAUAGAAUUGAUCGAGUUAUCUCCUCGUGGGAGUUGUCUCGCGAUAAUGAAGUAGCACGGAGCUAGUAUUCUCCUCGUGGGAGUUGUUUUUUAUCGACAUUGUCAAUGUUUUGACGCGUUGCUUGUAUGUGUUUACAUAUAGCCUUGUGCGUGACGUACUUGAAGAGGGGAUCAGGCUCUCAAGAUUUUUUUUUUUUUAUGGGGAUCGUGCCCCUUGUUAGACCUCGUGGGUCGUAAGUAUGUUUGGACCGUGGCCACGUUUUAAUGAAAGACCCAUCGAAAACAAGUAGAUAAACUUGAGUAAUCAAGCUGGCCAGGCUAUAUAGAUUCUCAUAAUAUCUCUAAGUGUUUCUAGGGUUGUAAUCGUGCUAACUUGAGCUUGCGAUUAUAUAGUGAAUUUCGGGCGAGUUGUCUCCUCAUGGGAGUUGUCUCGCGGUGAGUUGUAGGAGCAUUGGAUGAU